UUUUUUUGCACGGAAGCAUUUAAAUGAGCAGGAGUAGACAUUUUUACAUAGGUCUAUGAAUGAGUAUGCAACAUAUUUCGACAUUUUUGGAAAAAAGGAAGUUGAGUUAGAACCGAACAAGAUGUCCCUUUCGUACAUACAUCCAUAUUCUGAGUAGCCGAGCCUCAGAGCUUGCAAUCAUUUAAAUGAACAGAAUUGAAAAUUUUUCAUCGUUCUAUAAAUCAGUAGGCAUCAUAUUUGGACCUCUUUGGAGAAGUCUAAGGGGGAAUAUGUCUAGGUGAAAGGUAAUUCCUGAACGGGAAUCGCCAAAGCCAUUUUUACGCUUGAUUCGAACCAAUAGGAAGGCAUCUGGGAUGAACGGAACCUAUGGCUUCAAUUAUGGAGUUAAUGAACAAUGAAAGGAACUU